rnacentral:misc_RNA from 1 species
GAGCACUAUUUUUAUGUGCACUGAAAGUAUGCUAUAAUCUUCCCUGAAUGCCUAUCCCACCAUAUUGUAAAGACCCAAUGUAAACUAAUUAAAAUGGAUUAAGUGUGUGCGUAUGCACGCGCACACGCGUGUGAGAUAUUAUUUUCUGAUAUCAUGUGAAUAGUAAGUUUAGCCCCAAAAGGAGUUGGAUGUAGGUGAUGAUUUUACAUUGCGAACCCCAACUAGUUUAGAAUUGAGGCUUUUUUGAGUUUAUAUCAUGUUGCUGUUCGGUGGUUUAAUUUAUAAUUGUUAUGUGGUUGAUUAUGGGAAAUUUGAAUUGAAUAGAUUUUGUAAUGAAUCUGUAGCAUUCUUUUUCUUGUGUGCCAUUAUAAUCUUUGAAGAUGAUAAUGACAUGCU